rnacentral:tRNA from 1 species
GCGCCGGUGGUGUAAAGGCGUAGACAUUCCCGCCCGGUCAGAUGGAGGUGCGGGUUCGAGUCCCGCCUGGCGCU